AAAUUGAAGAGUUUGAUCAUGGCUCAGAUUGAACGCUGGCGGCAGGCCUAACACAUGCAAGUCGAACGGUAACAGGAAACAGCUUGCUGCUUCGCUGACGAGUGGCGGACGGGUGAGUAAUGUCUGGGAAACUGCCUGAUGGAGGGGGAUAACUACUGGAAACGGUAGCUAAUACCGCAUAACGUCGCAAGACCAAAGAGGGGGACCUU
rnacentral:rRNA from 1 species